GAUAAACGCUGGCGGCGUGCCUUAUGCAUGCAAGUCGAACGGUCUUGAUUUACCAAGCUUGCUUGAUUUAUCUCGAUAGUGGCGAACGGGUGAGUAACACGUAAGUAACCUGCCCCAAAGUAGGGGAUAACUCUGAGAAAUUGGAGCUAAUACCGUAGUGGUGAUGGAGGUAAUGCUUCAUUAUUAAAGCCUUCGGGUGCUUAGGGAGGGGCUUGCGGCUGAUUAGCUAGUUGGUAGGGUAGCGGCUUACCAAGGCGACUAUCAGUAGCUGGUUUGAGAGGACGGCCAGCCACACUGGGACUGAGAUACGGCCCAGACUCCUACGGGAGGCAGCAGCAAGGAAUUUUGUGCAAUGGGCGAAAGCCUGACACAGCGACGCCGCGUGGAGGAUGAAGGCCUUCGGGUUGUAAACUCCUUUUCUCAGGGAAGAAUAAUGACGGUACCUGAGGAAUAAGUCUCGGCUAACUACGUGCCAGCAGCCGCGGUAAUACGUAGGAGGCUAGCGUUAUCCGGAUUUACUGGGCGUAAAGAGGGCGUAGGCGGUUCUGCAAGUCGGAUGUAAAAUCUCCCAGCUUAACUGGGAGGGGUCAUCCGAUACUGCGGGGCUAGAGGGCAGCAGGGGGAGGUAGAAUUCCCGGUGUAGUGGUGAAAUGCGUAGAUAUCGGGAGGAAUACCAGUGGCGAAGGCGGCCUCCUGGGCUGUUUCUGACGUUGAGGCCCAAAAGCGUGGGGAGCAAACAGGAUUAGAUACCCUGGUAGUCCACGCCGUAAACAAUGGACACUAGGCAUGGGGAGUAUCGACCCUCUCUGUGCCGUAGUUAACGCGUUAAGUGUCCCGCCUGGGGAGACGGUCGCAAGACU
rnacentral:rRNA from 1 species